rnacentral:rRNA from 1 species
GACGAACCGUGCAAACGUUGUUCGGAAUCACUGGGCUUAAAGGGCGCGUAGGCGGGCAGGCAAGUCGAAGGUGAAAUCCCACGGCUCAACCGUGGAAGUGCCCCCGAUACUGCCUGUCUCGAGGGAGAUAGGGGCGUGCGGAACUUCCGGUGGAGCGGUGAAAUGCGUAGAUAUCGGAAGGAACACCGGUGGCGAAAGCGGCGCGCUGGAUCUCUUCUGACGCUGAUGCGCGAAAGCCAGGGGAGCGAACGGG